AGUGUCUCUUCCUAGCUAUAAAGAGUGGCUUACUUUUAUAUAUAAAUAUAUUUUCUUUUCAAUUUAAGAGUCAUGUUUUAUAAUUAUGUCGAGGUGGUUCUCCAGAGAGAAAGGGAAGACGCUAAGAGAACAAAAAUGCUGGAAACAACCGAAAUAGAAGCAGUGUCUGAUGAAAGCGAGUUUCUUGAAGACUCACCUGAUGAACUCCACCUGUAAGGCUAAACCAUUGCGUGUGGCAAAGAGUACAUAUACUCCACCUUGGGAAUCCGUCUUUCUGACCUCCUUCUAAUGCAAAUGGAGAUUGCUGCAGCAGGAUUCGAGGCUGCAUCUUGGGGAUCUGCCAGAAACUCCCAGUCAGAGUACAAUGAGUGCAUUCACAAAGAAGCAUUCACAAAUGUCAGAAGGAUCCCUCCAGCUAUUCAGAACUGACUUCAUGGGCAGCUUGUCAUGUUUAAUUCCAACAGUUCUUUACCUGAAUGCUCCAAGAUAUUGAUGAAGUAAACAACUAUGUCAAGCCUUGCAACACUAGAAAUCUUGGACAAACCUGGGAGACAGAUUGUCAAUAUCUAAGAUGAAUUAAAAAGGUUGUGUAAGUACAGAGCUUAUUAAACAGUGAAGUAAUAUGCAGACGUGCGAAGAAGGUUACCGUCUAAUGAGCAUGUUAGACCACUGUGCUGCGGUCAUGCGCUGAUUGCAUUCUCUCACUGGGUCUCCAUCAAGUCAAGUGCAAAUCUCCAGCAGGAUUCAAGGAUGUUAGCAUGAAUAUAAACCUGGAUAAUGGAUGCUACUAAGGGGCUAAAGUUUAUUCAGGAACCUUGCAAGAUUAGAGUCUCACAACAGUGUGAUGCAGCCAUGAUCAUUCAGGCCUUUACAGCCAUUGAAGCAGGACAUUCUCCCCAAGCAUGGUUGGAUACCAUAAAAAGCUAAAAUGUUACACUCAGGAUGCGAGGCUAAGCACUGCACUCAGAGUCAGCCGCUUUGGACCCAGAGAAGAGCAUGUCUGGUUUCAUGCGGGUUGAUGCCCCAGGUCCCGCCUCUGGGAAAAAGAAAGAAAGAAAAAAAAAACUUCUUAAGUUGGGGUACAUGUGACAAAGUCAAGGAACUUUAUGGAACUCUCUGCAGUCUCGCUGCUGUAAGAUUGAGGUGAUAGGUACCACACAGAUGACAAUGGAGUUCAGGUGAAUGCUGUCCAUUCCUGCAGAGAAAGCUUACAACCAAGAGCUGUUGGACCAUGGUGCUAUCCAGAAAACAAAGAAAACUAGACAAAAUCAUUGGAGGAUACACGAUGGCGGCACUGACCAUGCAGGGUAUAUGAACCAGCUCAGUGGUGAGAGCAGAGCAACCAGCAUUCUGCAAUGUGGACUCCAAACUCCAGACAUCUGUGUUUUACAGAAAAAGAAAGGCCUCCCAUGGAUAUCAACCAGCCUUAGCAAAUCAGAUUGCAGUAUGUCUAUAUGCCUCCUCUCCUUCUGAAGCUAGAGAUCUGAUGCUCUCUGUGGCCACCGUGCGUACUGGACACAUAGGACACUAAGAUAUACAUGAAUACAGAGGCAGGUGAGGCCAUUUUAUAAGAGCCAGAUUGUCACUCAACUAAACGGAACGCUGGAGUUACCUGGAAGAGUCAAGGAGAAAAUAUUCAACAAUGGUAAAAAUACCUCACAGCUUCACUCGAUAUAUUUUCAAGGUUAUUUUUAGUAUUCCAAAGACUGGCUGAGACACUUGAUUCUAUCCAGAUUCUAAAACGCUGUAUUUACUAAAUGCAUUUCUACAUUUCCUCCACUGUUUCUUUUUGAUCUGUGGGACAAAUUGCUAAAUACAACGUAUUUCCCCCAAAGAUGUCAAUCCACUGGACUCUGAAUUUGCUAG